CGACGCCGCGUGGGGAUGAAGGCCUUCGGGUUGUAAACCCUUUCGGCAGGGACGAAGCGAAAGUGACGGUACCUGCAGAAGAAGCGCCGGCUAACUACGUGC
rnacentral:rRNA from 1 species